UCUGUGUAACUACAUAGUUACCCUACAG
rnacentral:sRNA from 1 species